rnacentral:rRNA from 1 species
AUUGAACGCUGGCGGCGUGCUUAACACAUGCAAGUCGAGCGGCAGCGCGGGGGCAACCCUGGCGGCGAGCGGCGGACGGGUGAGCAAUACAUAGGAAUCUGCCUCAGAGCGAGGGAUAGCCAGGGGAAACCCUGAUUAAUACCGCAUGACGUCGAGAGACCAAAGUGGGGGAUCGUAAGACCUCACACUCUGAGAUGAGCCUAUGUCGGAUUAGCUAGUUGGCGGGGUAACGGCCCACCAAGGCGACGAUCCGUAGCUGGUCUGAGAGGACGAUCAGCCACACCGGAACUGAGACACGGUCCGGACUCCUACGGGAGGCAGCAAUAGGGAAUAUUGGACAAUGGGCGAAAGCCUGAUCCAGCGACGCCGCGUGGGUGAAGAAGGCCUUCGGGUUGUAAAGCCCUUUAAGCCGGGACGAAAAAGCUACACCUAACACGUGUGGCCUUGACGGUACCGGAAGAAUAAGCACCGGCUAACUCUGUGCCAGCCGCCGCGGUAA